GUUAAGGAAAGGAGGUACAUGAUCUUCUAUGUUAGCUGUAGAAAACUGAUUCAUUUUGGAAAUAGAGGAAAGAUUAAAGAAGUGAAAUGCUGUACACAAGGGAAAUAAUCAGAAGAUUAUUUAAAAUCUCAUAAAAAUGAGAACUUUAAGUAAUAACAUCUAAAAGGCUUUGUGACUUAUUGAAGAAGAAAAAUGUUUUCAGGAUAUUUCUAGCUUCAGCCUGAGGGUGAACAGUGGUCCUAUAGACCAGAAAAAGAAUAACAGAAAGAAGAGCAUGUUUUGGUGAGAGGAUGCAGGGGGAAGCUAAAUUGUUCAUUUUGGGAGAAUGAAUCACGCAUAUGGAGAUCUGCAUUUGAAGGAGGAUUCCAAUAAGGUCUAGUCUGAAAAUAGAGCUGGAAAUAGAGAAUUGAGAGUCACACACAAAGAUGAGAUGGAGGUAGAAGCUGUAGGCUUUGCUGAGAAUACCCAAGUCAGUGGUGACUAAGAAAGAGAAACCUGACAAGAAAGAGAAGGCAUUCAGAGAUGGAGAAGGAAAAUUAAGAGGCUGAGCUAUCCUGAGACAAAGACAAAAAGAAACUAAAGAAAAUGAAACAAAGCAGAAAUGCUUAGUCCAAGAAUCCUUGUAAGGGAGAGUUCUAUGUGCAGGACCAAGAAUUUUACCCUUGACUCCAUCCUGUGAAGGUAUUUUUAAAAAUUUCGAUGCUUUCAAUAGAGAAAAAGAAGGCUUCUUCACCAAACGUAUGGAUGACAUGAAGCCACAAAGGAUGAAGAUGACAGAGAUGUGGGAUGACAGAAUCAGGAUCUAAAGAGUAAUGGACCAGAUGAAAGGAUUGCUUGGCUGUACAAAAAUGAAAUAAAUCUAACAAGAUGAA